UGAGGAAUAUUUGUCAAUGGACGAGAGUCUGAACCAGCCAUGCCGCGUGAAGGAUGAAGGCGUUCUGCGUUGUAAACUUCUUUUGCGGGGGAAGAAACCUUGAUAUUCUUAUCAAGCCGACGGUACCCCGAGAAUAAGCACCGGCUAACUCCGUGCCAGCAGCCGCGGUAAUACGGAGGGUGCAAGCGUUAUCCGGAUUUACUGGGUUUAAAGGGUGUGUAGGCGGGUUAUUAAGUCAGCGGUGAAAUCUCCAGGCUCAACCUGGAAACUGCCAUUGAUACUAUUAGUCUUAAAUAUUGUUGAGGUGGGCGGAACGGGUCAUGUAGCGGUGAAAUGCAUAGAUAUGACAUAGAACACCAACUGCGAAGGCAGCUUACUACGGAUUGAUUGACACUGAGGCACGAAAGCGUGGGGAUCAAACA
rnacentral:rRNA from 1 species